rnacentral:sRNA from 1 species
CGGCGCAGUCUCGGUAGGCGGUAUGAGUUUGGCUGGGGGCCGGGCACCCCGGAAGACCGCUGGGAACCGGCUUUCUGGGCUUUUGGAGGCAGAGGAGGAAGAUGAGUUCUACCAGACGACUUAUGGGGGUUUCACAGAGGAAUCCGGAGAUGAUGAGUAUCAAGGGGACCAGUCAGACACAGAGGACGAAGUGGACUCUGACUUUGACAUUGAUGAAGGGGAUGAACCAUCCAGUGAUGGAGAAGCAGAAGAGCCAAGAAGGAAGCGCCGAGUAGUCACCAAGGCCUAUAAGGUACAGGGGGAGUCCUAGUUGUCUUGGAUUUCCUCAAUUCCUAUUCUCUCUUUCAUCAGGUCCCAGUACUCCCUAUGCCACUUCCAUUUCUGGCAAUGCUAGUUUUCUCUCAUUGAGAUCCUCAUAUUUCUCCUGACUUCUUCUGUUCCCCAGUAUCUGAUUCCAAUCUGUCCUCAGGAACCUCUCAAGAGCUUAAGGCCUCGAAAGGUCAACACCCCGGCUGGUAGCUCUCAGAAGGCCCGAGAAGAGAAGGCACUACUGCCAUUAGAACUACAA